AGUCGAGGGUUUGAUUUAUCAAGCACUGGCAUCCGGGUGAGUAACGCGUAGGUCAUCUGCCCCUAUCACAGACAUAACAGUUCUAACGGACUGCUAAUAUCUGAUGAGGCGGGCAAUCGUCAAAGCUUUGGCGGAUAGGGAUGAGCCUGCGUCUGAUUAGGUAGUUGGUGAGGUAAUGGCUCACCAAGCCUUCGAUCAGUAGCUGGUCUGAGAGGACGAACAGCCACACUGGAACUGAGACACGGUCCAGACUCCUACGGGAGGCAGCAGUGAGGAAUAUUGGUCAAUGGGCGCAAGCCUGAACCAGCGACGCCGCGUGGGGGAUGAAGGGGCUUUGCCUCGUAAACCUCUGUCGGAUGGGACGAAAGGUGGCUUUGAGCCACUGGGACGGUACCAUCAAAGGAAGGAUCGGCUAACUACGUGCCAGCAGCCGCGGUAAUACGUAGGAUCCGAGCGUUGUCCGGAGUUACUGGGUGUAAAGGGUGCGUAGGCUGUUCUGUGCGUCAGAGGUGAAAUCCACGGGCUUAACUCGUGGGGUGCCUUUGAUACGGCAGGGCUUGAGUACGAGAGAGGUGCGUGGAAUUCCUGGUGUAGCAGUGAAAUGCGUAGAUAUCAGGAGGAACACCGGUGGCGAAGGCGGCGCACUGGCUCGUAACUGACGCUGAGGCACGAAAGCGUGGGGAUCAAACAGGAUUAGAUACCCUGGUAGUCCACGCCUUAAACGAUGCAUGCUUGGUGUUGGUCUCGCAAGAGAUCAGUGCCGUAGUUAACAUGAUAAGCAUGCCACCUGGGGAGUACGAUCGCAAGGUUGAAACUCAAAGGAAUUGACGGGGGCCCGCACAAGCGGUGGAUCAUGUGGUUUAAUUCGAUGCAACGCGAAGAACCUUACCCAGGCUUGAAGUCUACGUAGUAAAGAGAUGAAAGUCGAAUGACCCGCA
rnacentral:rRNA from 1 species